UUUAAAGCUGGUCUCAGUUCGGAUCGGGGUCUGCAACUCGACCCCGUGAAGUCGGAGUCGCUAGUAAUCGCAGAUCAGCAACGCUGCGGUGAAUACGUUCCCGGGCCUUGUACACACCGCCCGUCACGUCAUGAAAGUCGGUAACACCCGAAGCCGGUGGCUUAACCCCUUGUGGGAGGGAGCCGUCGAAGGUGGGAUCGGCGAUUGGGACGAAGUCGUAACAAGGAA
rnacentral:rRNA from 1 species